UACGAAGGGGGCUAGCGUUGCUCGGAAUUACUGGGCGUAAAGCGCACGUAGGCGGAUUUGUAAGUCAGGGGUGAAAUCCCGGGGCUCAACCCCGGAACUGCCUUUGAUACUGCAAAUCUCGAGUCCGGAAGAGGUGAGUGGAAUUCCUAGUGUAGAGGUGAAAUUCGUAGAUAUUAGGAAGAACACCAGUGGCGAAGGCGGCUCACUGGUCCGGUACUGACGCUGAGGUGCGAAAGCGUGGGGAGCAAACAGG
rnacentral:rRNA from 1 species